rnacentral:rRNA from 1 species
GAUGAACGCUGGCGGCGUGCCUAAUACAUGCAAGUCGAGCGAACAGACGAGGAGCUUGCUCCUCUGACGUUAGCGGCGGACGGGUGAGUAACACGUGGAUAACCUACCUAUAAGACUGGGAUAACUUCGGGAAACCGGAGCUAAUACCAGAUAAUAUAUUGAACCGCAUGGUUCAAUAGUGAAAGACGGUUUUGCUGUCACUUAUAGAUGGAUCCGCGCCGCAUUAGCUAGUUGGUAAGGUAACGGCUUACCAAGGCAACGAUGCGUAGCCGACCUGAGAGGGUGAUCGGCCACACUGGAACCGAGACACGGUCCAGACUCCUACGGGAGGCAGCAGUAGGGAAUCUUCCGCAAUGGGCGAAAGCCUGACGGAGCAACGCCGCGUGAGUGAUGAAGGUCUUCGGAUCGUAAAACUCUGUUAUUAGGGAAGAACAAAUGUGUAAGUAACUAUGCACGUCUUGACGGUACCUAAUCAGAAAGCCACGGCUAACUACGUG